GCCCGAGUAGUUCAGUUGGUUAGGCAUCUGACUUCAGCUCAGGUCAUGAUCUCACAGUUUGUGGGUUCGAGCCCUCAUCGGGCU
rnacentral:tRNA from 1 species